rnacentral:tRNA from 1 species
ACCUUCGUGGUGUAGUGGUCAGCACACUCGAUGCGUAUUCGAGAGGUCCGCGGUUCGAGUCCCGGCGAGAGCA